GAUGAACGCUGGCGGCGUGCCUAAUACAUGCAAGUCGAGCGAACGGGCGAGAAGCUUGCUUCUCUGAUGUUAGCGGCGGACGGGUGAGUAACACGUGGAUAACCUACCUAUAAGACUGGGAUAACUUCGGGAAACCGGAGCUAAUACCGGAUAAUAUUUUGAACCGCAUGGUUCAAAAGUGAAAGACGGUCUUGCUGUCACUUAUAGAUGGAUCCGCGCUGCAUUAGCUAGUUGGUAAGGUAACGGCUUACCAAGGCAACGAUGCAUAGACGACCUGAGAGGGUGAUCGGCCACACUGGAACUGAGACACGGUCCAGACUCCUACGGGAGGCAGCAGUAGGGAAUCUUCCGCAAUGGGCGAAAGCCUGACGGAGCAACGCCGCGUGAGUGAUGAAGGUCUUCGGAUCGUAAAACUCUGUUAUUAGGGAAGAACAUAUGUGUAAGUAACUGUGCACAUCUUGACGGUACCUAAUCAGAAAGCCACGGCUAACUACGUG
rnacentral:rRNA from 1 species